AACCUUACUAGAUCCAGCUGGACCUGACUGUAAAGCUCAUAUACUCAACCACUACACUGUUAUUGUUGUUGUUUAUAGUAUUUUAUGUUUCCUUGUUUCCAAAUAUAGCCGAUGGUGUUGCUUUGGGAGCAGCAGCGUCUACUUCACAGACUAGUGUCCAGUUAAUUGUGUUUGUGGCAAUCAUGCUACAUAAGGCACCAGCUGCUUUUGGACUGGUUUCCUUCUUGAUGCAUGCUGGCUUAGAGCGGAAUCGAAUCAGAAAGCACUUGCUGGUCUUUGCACUGGCAGCACCAGUUAUGUCCAUGGUGACAUACUUAGGACUGAGUAAGAGCAGUAAAGAAGCCCUUUCAGAGGUGAACGCCACGGGAGUGGCCAUGCUUUUCUCUGCCGGGACAUUUCUUUAUGUUGCCACAGUACAUGUCCUCCCUGAGGUGGGCGGAAUAGGGCACAGCCACAAGCUCGAUGCCACGGGAGGGAGAGGCCUCAGCCGCCUGGAAGUGGCAGCCCUGG
rnacentral:sRNA from 1 species